rnacentral:rRNA from 1 species
UAAGGUGAAACCGCGAAAGGCUCAUUAAAUCAGUUAUGGUUCCUUAGAUCGUACCCACAAUUACUUGGAUAACUGUGGUAAUUCUAGAGCUAAUACAUGCAAACAGAGCUCCGACCGGAGACGGAAGGAGUGCUUUUAUUAGAUCAAAACCAAUCGGUGGCGGGUUCGCCCGUUAUCGUACAACUUGGUGACUCUGAAUAACUUUACGCUGAUCGCACGGUCAUCGCACCGGCGACGCAUCUUUCAAAUGUCUGCCUUAUCAACUGUCGAUGGUAGGUUCUGCGCCUACCAUGGUUGUAACGGGUAACGGGGAAUCAGGGUUCGAUUCCGGAGAGGGAGCCUGAGAAACGGCUACCACAUCCAAGGAAGGCAGCAGGCGCGCAAAUUACCCACUCCCGGCACGGGGAGGUAGUGACGAAAAAUAACGAUACGGGACUCAUCCGAGGCCCCGUAAUCGGAAUGAGUACACUCUAAACCCUUUAACGAGGAUCA